rnacentral:lncRNA from 1 species
GCCGCAGGGGGCGGGGGGCCGGGCUCGCUGCCACCGCCCGGCGCCCUCUGCCCUCACCCCUCACCCCGGCACCGGCUCUUAAAGGGGCCGCGCGGCGUCCCGAUUCCGUGCCUGGGACCCCACUUCCAGGACGCCCUCCCAGCCCCAGUGCUCGGCCCCACCCGGCGACCUCCAGCCUCGUGGCACACACACCCGCCGAGGGGCCGACCGUCCGGCUCCCAGGCCCGAGGGUCCUCUCCCCGCCGGCCUGGCCAGAGCUGGCGCCCCCGCCCCUCCGCAGCCUUUGUUGGUGCGGGGCCUGCCGGCGGGGAGGGCCUUCUCCAGCGCCGGGCCUGGUGCUAGAGCGCACCGCGAGCCCAGCUCUGCGAGGCGCUUUACCUGCGGCCUCGCGCCGACCCUCUCCACGACCCCUGGAGGUGGGAACCUGGGCCUGCGCUCUCUUCGGGAAGGGAGAAGCUCCGAGGCGAGAUGGUUUGCCUUGGGUCACAUAGCUCACGAGUUGGUUGCGGGGGCGGGGGGUUCUCUAGUCAGCGCCGUCUCCCCCGUUCCCGCUGACGACCUCCAGCCUUGGUCGCUUCUAGCGAAAAGUCGCCCUUAAGCCGCGCUCGCGGGGACUCGCCUCGACGGUGUGCCCCUCCCCGCCCCCCACAGGCAGGUGAGCGUGUGCCCCCAGCCGAUCGCGGUGGGAACACAACUGCUCGGCCGUUUGGACGCUGGUCGUCCAGAGCGGGAACGAGCAGGCUGGGCCCCGGGGGGAAGGCCGUCGGACGAGAGAGGCCCUGGCUGGAGGUGGGCCCUGAGCUUGGAGAGCUGCCCAGCCCGAGCACAGGCCAGCCGCGCUUCAGCCUCUCCUCCUCUUGCUACGAUCAGCUGACCAGUCGCGGGGACAGGUCUGGCGUUGGGAAGUCUGCGAUUUUCGAAUCCCGGUUUUCUGUGGUUGUCGAGAAGCGGAUCCCCGUGGACGCGGUCACACAAGGCCUUCCGUGUGUGUGUGGAGCGAGCAGGACCCGGUGCUGUUUGUGACUUCUUCCUCGUCUCUGCUCUCAGCUGACUGCCUUGCACCUCGCUGCGCUGCUUUGAUUACUGACCCUCGUUCGGAAAUCAGGGAGUGUGAGUCGCCCGCUCAGUUCUUGUUUUCAGCAUUGGUUUGGUUGUUUGCCAGUACGUUAUUGAGGAUUUUUGCAGCUGUGUUCAUCAGAGGUACUGGUGUUUAGUCUUCUUUUCUCGUUGUGUAUGUGGUUUGGGAUCAGGGUGGCGCUGGCUCUGCUGAAUCUGAACCGUGCUUCCUCUUCCUCUAGUCUCAGGGUUUUCUUUGACGCAAGGUUUUAAAUUGCUGGUUUAGUCUCCUUGCGAGUUACUGUUCUUUUAGAUUUUUGGUCUCCUCCUGCUUCCGUUGUGGUAGAUUGUGUAUUUCCAGGAAAUCAUCCAUUGUUUGGGGUUGGCCACUUUGUUGGCACGCACUGGUUCACAGUAUUCUUGUAUAAUCCCUUUUCUUUCUGUGGCGUCAUUUGGGAUAUCCCCUUUCAUUUCUUUUUUUUUUUUUUUUUUUUUUUUUUUUUUUUUNNNNNNNNNNNNNNNNNNNNNNNNNNNNNNNNNNNNNNNNNNNNNNNNNNNNNNNNNNNNNNNNNNNNNNNNNNNNNNNNNNNNNNNNNNNNNNNNNNNNNNGAUUCGAGCCGCGUCUGCAACCUACACCACAGCUCACGGCAACGCCGGAUCCUUAACCCACUGAGCAAGGGCAGGGACUGAACCCGCAACCUCAUGGUUCUUAGUCAGAUUCGUUAACCACUGCGCCACGACGGGAACUCCCCUUUUCAUUUCUGAUUGUAGUUAUUUGAGCCUUCUGUCUUCUUUUUUAGGUAAUCCAGCCAGAAGUUUGUCAGUUUUUCUAUUGGUUUUCUAUGCUCUGUUUUAUUAAUUUCUAUUCUAAAUUUAUGAUGCCCCUCCUUCUGCUAGCUUUUGGUUUAGUUCAUUCAUUCUUCUUUUGGUGGUUCCUUGAAGUGUAAAGUCGGUUUGUUAAUUUGAGAUUGUUUUUUCCUUUGUAUGAGUUUAGAGCUAAAAACCCCCCUUUAGAACUGCUUUCACUGCAUCUGAUGUGUUUUAGUAUGCUGUGUGCACAUUUUUAUUUGUCUCUAGGUAUUUUCUAAUUUCUCCUGUGAUUUCUUUACACAUUGGUUGUCUGAGAGUAUGUUAAUUUGGGAGUUCCUGUUGUGGCUCAGCAGGUUAAGAGUCUGACUAAUAUUCAUGAGGAUGCAGGUUCAGUCCCGGGUCUCAUGCUGGCCUUGUCACAAGCUGUGACGUAGGUCACAGAUGCAGCUCCGCUUUGACCCCUAGCCCAGGAACUUCCAUGUGCCACAGUGUGGCCCUGAAAAGAAAAACAAAACAAAGAGUGUGUUUCCUGUCCACAAAUUUAUGGAUUUUCCAAUUUUCCUUCUGUUUUUGGUUUUUAAUUUCAUCUUGUUGUGGUUGGAGAAGAUACUUCAUAUGAUAUCUGUUGUUUUAGAGCUGUUGAGGUUUGUCUUGUGGGCUAUCAUGUGGUCUAUUCCAGACACUUGCAUGUGCACUUGAGAAGAAUUUGCGCUCUCUUGUUUGGGGGCAGAGUGUUCUGUCUCUGUCUGACAGACCUGGUUGUUAGACUGUGUUGCUGGAGUCCUCUGCUUCCUUUCAUGUCUUCUGUCUUGUUCAGUCUGUCACUGACGGUGGGGUAUCCAUGUUUCCUGCUACUGUUUUAUUGCUCUUUGUCCUUUUAGUUAUGUCAAAGUUUGUGUUGUAUAUUUAGGAGCUCUUAUGUUGGUGAAAUUUUUCGUCUUAUUGUUUUUGUUGUAAUGGUGUACAAUGUUAUGUCAGUUUCGGGUGUAUGACAUGGUGCUGUGACCCUUGCCCACAUGACGAAAUGAUCACCGCGGCAAGUGCCGUAGCCAUCUGUCCCCACAGGAAGUUAUUACGGUUUUAUUGACCAUGUUCCUUCUGUCGUGUAUCACAUCCUGUGCUUGUUUAUCUCACAGUUGGAGAUUUGCACCGAGGACCCCCCCUCGCCUGUUUCACAUCACACCCCCACCCUCUUAGCAACCACCCAUUUCUUCUUUGUACCAGCGAGUCUGCUUUUAUUUUCUUUUGUUUGUUUUAUUUUUUAGAUUCCACAUAUAAAUGAGACCAUGUAGUAGUUGUCUUUGUCCGAUUAUUUCACUAAGCAUGAUAUACCCUCUAGAUCCAGCAAUGCUGUCACGAAAAGGCAAGACUUUCGUUUUUCCCGGCUGGCGUGUGUAUGUGUGCGUCUCAGAUCGCCUUACCCAGCUGUCUUUUGAUGAGCACUUAGGUUUCACACCUUGGCUAUUGUAAGUAAUACUGCGGGAACCUUGGUGGGCAUACGUCUCUUUGCACCGCAUUUUGUUUCCUUUGGGUGAUAACCCAGAAGUGAAAUUGCUGGAUCACAUGGCAGUUUUAUUUUUAAUUUCUUAAGGAACCGUCGUACUGCUUUUCACAGUGGCUGCACCAGUGUACAGUCCCACCAAGAGUGCAGGAGGCCCCCUUUCCUCCACAUCCUCACCAACACCGGUUCUUUGUUGUCUUUCUCAUGAUGGCCCUCCUGGCAGGUGUGACUUUUUCUGCAGAGUUGCCCGUAGUCACCUCAGACUCCCUGAGCAUUUUGUCUCUGCCUCUUCUCAGGAGCCUGUCAUUUUAGCCCGCUGGCACCUGCCUCUGGAACUUCAGCUCUAAUGUUCAAGUGUUGUGUCAUUUUCUGUGGCUUCCAAACAAGACAGUCUGUCUGUCAGAGCGCCGUGUCAGGCCGGACAGGUGGCCGUCCCUCACGUGGAACUAUGUUCUUUCUUAAUUAUCAGUUGACGUUGUUAUUGAAUUUUUUUGCCCUGCAGAUUUUUUCCUUUUACAUGCUUCUUUUCUUUAAUACUGAAUUUAUCAAUCUUUUCUUUUUGUGGGCUGCUGAAUUUUUGUUCUGGCCAUGCCCAUGGCAUGUGGAAGCUCCCGGGCUGGGGAUCGCACCUGUGCCAUAGCAGUGACCUGCACCACGGCAGUGACAGUGCUGGAUCCUUAACCACUAGGCCACCAGAGAACUUCAGCUGUUGAAUUUUGUGUCCUGCUUGGAAAGAACUGUUCUGCCCCAAUAUUGUUUAACGUUUCUGUUUUCUUUUAGUCAUUUUGUGUCUUUAUGUUUUGCUUAUGUCUUUAUUCGGUAUGGAAUUUAUUUUUAGAGUAGGAGGUGAAGUAGAGAUACGAUUUUCAUUUUCCUAGAUCUUACAUAAUUGUUUUAAUACCUUUUAUGGAAUAAUACAUUUUUAAGCAAAUUUAAGUGCUGUCUUUUAUGUGUUUAGUUCUCUUUCUGGGGGCUCUACUCUUUUAUCUGUUGGGUUUUCACCUGCUAUGUUAGUUGUUAGAGUGAUCAUAACUUUAUAAUUGGUUUGCUAUCUAGUCCCCUUUCUUUUAAACAUUUUCUUGGCUAUUUUUAUGCAUCUCUUUUUUCUGUAUAAAUAUUACAAUCAGCAUAGCUACUUAAAAUAUCUUCUUGGUAUAUUUGUUCAGAUCAAAUAUAUAGAUUAAUUUAGGGAGAAUGACUUGGUUAUAGUAUUAAAAUUUCCUGUUAAAAUAAGAAUUAUUUAUUCUUUUAUUCAUGACUCCUUUUAUGUUUCUCAGCAAUUACAAUUUUCUUCACUUGGUUUUUUUUUUUUUUUUAAAUGACCGUACCUGUGGCAUAUGGAAGUUCCGGGCCAGGGAUCAGAUCUGAGCCACAGCUGUGACCUAUGUCAGAUCAUCAACCCAUCACACCAAGCUGGGCAUUGAACCCUCACUGCCACAGACACAAUGGUGGAUCCUUAACCUGCCGUACCACAGUGGGAACUCCUUUUCACAUCGAUUUUUUUUGUUUGUUUUUGCUUUUCAGGGUGUGGCAUAUGGAAGUUCCCAGGUCAGGGGUUGAAUCAGAGCUGUGCUGCCGGCCUACACCACAGCCACAGCCAUGCGGGAUCUGAGCCACAUCUGCAACCUACACCGCAGCUCAUGGUCAUGCCAGAUCCCUAACCCACUCAGAGAGACCAGGGAUCGAACCCGAGUCCUCAUGGAUCCCAGUCGGGUUCGCGACUGCUGAGCCGCAACGUGCUCAAGACUUUUCCUGAAAUGUGUGUUCGGGAGGAAAAUGCACAGAGACAGCCUGAUGCGUUUUCACAACCUGAGCACACGUGUAGCCAGCACCGAGAUGUGGAGACAGAGCGUUUCCAGACCCCAGGGGCUGCCUUGCCGUCUCCCUUCCAGCCACUUCCUCCCGAAGAAGCCCAUCCUGGCCCUUGGGGCCUAGACGGGUCUGUUCUUUGGGUGUCUGUGCUUUUCCUAUAGGACUCACGGUGCGUACGGGACAUCGUGUUUGUAAGAUUCUCUUUGCCACUUAGUAUUCUACCGAGUAAACCCCAAAGAGUUUUGCUUUUCUACUAUUAAUGGACAUCUGGCCAAUUUCCAGCUGUUAUUUUGGAAGUGCUGCUUCGUCCGCUUCUGCUGCUUCUUCUUCUUCUUCUUCUGCUUGUUUAGGGCCGUACCCGUGGCAUGUGGACGUUCCCAGGCUAAGGGUCAAAUUGGAGCUACGACUGCCAGCCUCCACCACAGCCGCAGCAACGUGGGAUCUGAGCUGUGUCUGCGACCUACGCCACCGCUCACAGCAGCGCCGGAUCCUUAGCCCUGAGCAGGGCCAGGGAUCGAACCCACAUCCUUGUGGAUACAAGUUGGGCUCAUGACCACUGAGCCACAACAGGAACGCCUUUAUAAGUCCUUCUUUGGUGUGUAGAUUUUUAAAAGUUUCUUAUACAGUUUGCAUUUAAGGAGUAAGUGUCUUAUUUUAUUUCUGUUUGUCAUGUGUAAAUAAAAAAGCUGCUGAUUUUAUACAUUAUGUACCCAGCCUUCUAUCUGAAUUCACUUACAUUUUGUAGUUUUUUUUUUUUUUCAUUUGACCAGCCCCCCAGGACACAAUAACAUCUGUGAUAAUUUUGCUAUACUUUUCCACUUGCUAUGUUUUUAUUUAUUUGUCUUUAAUAAUUGUGUCGGAUAAUGCCACCAAGUAAACUCAUAUGGAUAGUAGUGAAACUGUAAUAAAGACUGCCAAGUUUACCUUCAG